CCAGCCCGUCUUAUGGCCCUGGCCUUGGCUGAGCGGGCUCAGCAGGUAGCAGAACAACAGAGCCAACAAGGGCAGGGGGGCACCCCACCUGCUCCCCUCUCCCCCUUCCGACGUUCACUGUCCCUGGAGGUGGGUGGGGAGCCCGUGGGGACUUCAGGGAGUGGGCUUCACCCUCCGUCCUUAGCCCACCCAGGUGCCUGGGCUCCAGGUCCCACCCCUUACCUCCCAAGGCAACAGAGUGAUGGCAGCCUGGUAAGAAGCCAGCGGCCCUUGGGGACCUCAAGGAGGGGUCCCAGAGGGCCUUCCCAGGUCAGUGCCCAUCUCAGGGCAAGUGGGGCUUACAGGGACACUCCAGAGAUGGCAGCCCAGUCACCAUGUUCUAUCCCCUCACAGGGUUCUAACCCCAGCUUCCUCUCAACCCCCCGAGAGUGUCUGCCAUCUUUCCUUGGUGUCCCCAAACAAGGCUUGUACUCUCUGGGUCCCCCAUCCUUCCCACCUAACUCUCCAGCCCCAGUCUGGAGGAACUCUCUGGGUGCGCCCCCAGCACUGGACAGGGGAGAGAAUCUGUACUAUGAAAUUGGGGUAGGGGAGGGGACCUACUCAGGCCCCAGCCGGUCCUGGAGUCCGUUUCAUUCCAUGCCUCCCGACAGGCUCAAUGCCUCAUAUGGUAUGCUUGGCCAGUCACCACCACUCCACAGGUCCCCCGAUUUCCUGCUCAACUACCCCCCGCCCCCCUCCUGCUUCCCACCUGACCCCCUUACUCACUCAGUUUCCCAGCACCUUGCCCGGCGUCCCACCCGACCUGAGCC
rnacentral:lncRNA from 1 species